rnacentral:rRNA from 1 species
GGCUCAACCCGAGGACGGGGAGGAUACUGCCGGGCUAGGGGGCGGGAGAGGCCGGCGGUACUCCCGGGGUAGGGGCGAAAUCCGUUGAUCCCGGGAGGACCACCAGUGGCGAAGGCGGCCGGCUGGAACGCGCCCGACGGUGAGGGACGAAAGCCGGGGGAGCGAACCGGAUUAGAUACCCGGAAUC